rnacentral:misc_RNA from 1 species
UUUCCGUAGGUGAACCUGCGGAAGGAUCAUUAAAGAGUAAGGGUCUUCGGGCCCGCUCUCCAACCCUUUGUUUAACUACCAUGUUGCUUUGGCGGGCCCGUCUCACGACCGCCGGAAGUUUGGCUUCGACCAAACUUCUGGCCCGUGCCCGUCAGUGGCCCCUUCAAAUUCUUGAUCAAGUAUGAUGUCUUAGUUAAAAACUUAAUAGUUAAAACUUCCAACAACGGAUCUCUUGGUUCUG